rnacentral:rRNA from 1 species
CGACUUAUAUUCUGUAGCAAGGUUAACCGAAUAGGGGAGCCGAAGGGAAACCGAGUCUUAACCGGGCGUUAAGUUGCAGGGUAUAGACCCGAAACCCGGUGAUCUAGCCAUGGGCAGGUUGAAGGUUGGGUAACACUAACUGGAGGACCGAACCGACUAAUGUUGAAAAAUUAGCGGAUGACUUGUGGCUGGGGGUGAAAGGCCAAUCAAACCGGGAGAUAGCUGGUUCUCCCCGAAAGCUAUUUAGGUAGCGCCUCGUGAAUUCAUCUCCGGGGGUAGAGCACUGUUUCGGCAAGGGGGUCAUCCCGACUUACCAACCCGAUGCAAACUGCGAAUACCGGAGAAUGUUAUCACGGGAGACACACGGCGGGUGCUAACGUCCGUCGUGAAGAGGGAAACAACCCAGACCGCCAGCUAAGGUCCCAAAGUCAUGGUUAAGUGGGAAACGAUGUGGGAAGGCCCAGACAGCCAGGAUGUUGGCUUAGAAGCAGCCAUCAUUUAAAGAAAGCGUAAUAGCUCACUGGUCGAGUCGGCCUGCGCGGAAGAUGUAACGGGGCUAAACCAUGCACCGAAGCUGCGGCAGCGACACUGUGUGUUGUUGGGUAGGGGAGCGUUCUGUAAGCCUGUGAAGGUGUGCUGUGAGGCAUGCUGGAGGUAUCAGAAGUGCGAAUGCUGACAUAAGUAACGAUAAAGCGGGUGAAAAGCCCGCUCGCCGGAAGACCAAGGGUUCCUGUCCAACGUUAAUCGGGGCAGGGUGAGUCGACCCCUAAGGCGAGGCCGAAAGGCGUAGUCGAUGGGAAACAGGUUAAUAUUCCUGUACUUGGUGUUACUGCGAAGGGGGGACGGAGAAGGCUAUGUUGGCCGGGCGACGGUUGUCCCGGUUUAAGCGUGUAGGCUGGUUUUCCAGGCAAAUCCGGAAAAUCAAGGCUGAGGCGUGAUGACGAGGCACUACGGUGCUGAAGCAACAAAUGCCCUGCUUCCAGGAAAAGCCUCUAAGCAUCAGGUAACAUCAAAUCGUACCCCAAACCGACACAGGUGGUCAGGUAGAGAAUACCAAGGCGCUUGAGAGAACUCGGGUGAAGGAACUAGGCAAAAUGGUGCCGUAACUUCGGGAGAAGGCACGCUGAUAUGUAGGUGAAGUCCCUCGCGGAUGGAGCUGAAAUCAGUCGAAGAUACCAGCUGGCUGCAACUGUUUAUUAAAAACACAGCACUGUGCAAACACGAAAGUGGACGUAUACGGUGUGACGCCUGCCCGGUGCCGGAAGGUUAAUUGAUGGGGUCAGCGCAAGCGAAGCUCUUGAUCGAAGCCCCGGUAAACGGCGGCCGUAACUAUAACGGUCCUAAGGUAGCGAAAUUCCUUGUCGGGUAAGUUCCGACCUGCACGAAUGGCGUAAUGAUGGCCAGGCUGUCUCCACCCGAGACUCAGUGAAAUUGAACUCGCUGUGAAGAUGCAGUGUACCCGCGGCAAGACGGAAAGACCCCGUGAACCUUUACUAUAGCUUGACACUGAACAUUGAGCCUUGAUGUGUAGGAUAGGUGGGAGGCUUUGAAGUGUGGACGCCAGUCUGCAUGGAGCCGACCUUGAAAUACCACCCUUUAAUGUUUGAUGUUCUAACGUGGACCCGUGAUCCGGGUUGCGGACAGUGUCUGGUGGGUAGUUUGACUGGGGCGGUCUCCUCCUAAAGAGUAACGGAGGAGCACGAAGGUUGGCUAAUCCUGGUCGGACAUCAGGAGGUUAGUGCAAUGGCAUAAGCCAGCUUGACUGCGAGCGUGACGGCGCGAGCAGGUGCGAAAGCAGGUCAUAGUGAUCCGGUGGUUCUGAAUGGAAGGGCCAUCGCUCAACGGAUAAAAGGUACUCCGGGGAUAACAGGCUGAUACCGCCCAAGAGUUCAUAUCGACGGCGGUGUUUGGCACCUCGAUGUCGGCUCAUCACAUCCUGGGGCUGAAGUAGGUCCCAAGGGUAUGGCUGUUCGCCAUUUAAAGUGGUACGCGAGCUGGGUUUAGAACGUCGUGAGACAGUUCGGUCCCUAUCUGCCGUGGGCGCUGGAGAACUGAGGGGGGCUGCUCCUAGUACGAGAGGACCGGAGUGGACGCAUCACUGGUGUUCGGGUUGUCAUGCCAAUGGCACUGCCCGGUAGCUAAAUGCGGAAGAGAUAAGUGCUGAAAGCAUCUAAGCACGAAACUUGCCCCGAGAUGAGUUCUCCCUGACCCUUUAAGGGUCCUGAAGGAACGUUGAAGACGACGACGUUGAUAGGCCGGGUGUGUAAGCGCAGCGAUGCGUUGAGCUAACCGGUACUAAUGAACCGUGAGGCUUAACCUU